GUCAGCCCUACGCAUCAAGUGCUGAUUAAGCUACCUGAAAAUCGAGUGCCAAAACAGUUUUCAACCUCAUACUCCAUGAACAACCUGCUCCCACACCCUCCCCUCAACACUCCCCCAAAAUCUUUUUUUCUUUUUCCAUCUUUUUCUGUUAAUUUCUAGUUGGUUUCUUUUGUAAAUUUGGGUAUAUUUGGGUUUUGUUCAAAAGUUAUGAAGCUUUAUUCUUCUGUUAAAAAAAAAAAAAGAAGAAGAAGAAGAAGAAGGCCUUAGUUAGGAUUUGAGAGAGAGGGGAAGACGAGACGGAGAACAAGGGUAGCUGCUGCGAUAGCUUUGGUAGAGAUCCGAUCCGAUCGACCAUCACUUUUAUAGGAACAAAAGCUGCUGCCGACGAUCUUUUUCCUUUUAACAGAAGAGGACAAUGGCUAUACUUGGGAGAUUUACCAGUUGUAGAAAGUGAAGCUGCUUGACUGCAAUAUCCUUGUUCAUAUGGCUGUUGCAUUUUGUGGUCAGCAAAAGCCUUAUCCUUAUCCUUGUUUCAUCCGUUCCUUCCCACGCUUUGCUUUCAAUAGUUGUAAUUUGAUGCAUGUGCUUGUUUUGUGCAUAGUGUGGUUGUACUUAUUAUGAAUUUUCUCUUUUGCCCUUGAAGAUGCUUUAUUUAUGGUUUGUUUUUAGAAAACUUUGGUUUUUUGGUCAUUUAUUGGUAGGUUUAAUCAAAUGCAUUAUUAAUGGAAUUUAGUUUUUCUCAA